rnacentral:rRNA from 1 species
UGGGGAAUUUUGGACAAUGGGCGAAAGCCUGAUCCAGCCAUGCCGCGUGCGGGAAGAAGGCCUUCGGGUUGUAAACCGCUUUUGUCAGGGAAGAAACGCUUUGGGCUAAUACCCCGAGGUAAUGACGGUACCUGAAGAAUAAGCACCGGCUAACUACGUGCCAGCAGCCGCGGUAAUACGUAGGGUGCAAGCGUUAAUCGGAAUUACUGGGCGUAAAGCGUGCGCAGGCGGUGAUGCAAGACAGAUGUGAAAUCCCCGGGCUUAACCUGGGAACUGCAUUUGUGACUGCAUCGCUAGAGUGCGGCAGAGGGGGAUGGAAUUCCGCGUGUAGCAGUGAAAUGCGUAGAUAUGCGGAGGAACACCGAUGGCGAAGGCAAUCCCCUGGGCCUGCACUGACGCUCAUGCACGAAAGCGUGGGGAGCAAACA